AUUGAACGCUGGCGGCAUGCCUUACACAUGCAAGUCGAACGGCAGCACGGGAGUAAUCCUGGUGGCGAGUGGCGAACGGGUGAGUAAUAUAUCGGAACGUGCCCAGUCGUGGGGGAUAACGCAGCGAAAGCUGUGCUAAUACCGCAUACGAUCUAUGGAUGAAAGCGGGGGAUCGCAAGACAUCGCGAGAUUGGAGCGGCCGAUAUCAGAGUAGCUAGGUGGUGAGGUAAAGGCUCACCAAGGCGACGAUCUGUAGCUGGGCUGAGAGGACGACCAGCCACACUGGAACUGAGACACGGUCCAGACUCCUACGGGAGGCAGCAGUGGGGAAUUUUGGACAAUGGGCGCAAGCCUGAUCCAGCAAUGCCGCGUGCAGGAUGAAGGCCUUCGGGUUGUAAACUGCUUUUGUACGGAGCGAAACGGUCUUUCCUAAUACGAGAGGCUAAUGACGGUACCGUAAGAAUAAGCACCGGCUAACUACGUGCCAGCAGCCGCAGUAA
rnacentral:rRNA from 1 species